rnacentral:rRNA from 1 species
UAAUUUUUAUGGAGAGUUUGAUCCUGGCUCAGGAUGAACGCUGGCGGCGUGCCUAAUACAUGCAAGUCGAGCGAACGGAACGAAGCUUGCUUCUCUGAUGUUAGCGGCGGACGGGUGAGUAACACGUGGAUAACCUACCUAUAAGACUGGGAUAACUUCGGGAAACCGGAGCUAAUACCGGAUAAUAUUUUGAACCGCAUGGUUCAAAAGUGAAAGACGGUCUUGCUGUCACUUAUAGAUGGAUCCGCGCUGCAUUAGCUAGUUGGUAAGGUAACGGCUUACCAAGGCAACGAUGCAUAGCCGACCUGAGAGGGUGAUCGGCCACACUGGAACUGAGACACGGUCCAGACUCCUACGGGAGGCAGCAGUAGGGAAUCUUCCGCAAUGGGCGAAAGCCUGACGGAGCAACGCCGCGUGAGUGAUGAAGGUCUUCGGAUCGUAAAACUCUGUUAUUAGGGAAGAACAUAUGUGUAAGUAACUGUGCACAUCUUGACGGUACCUAAUCAGAAAGCCACGGCUAACUACGUGCCAGCAGCCGCGGUAAUACGUAGGUGGCAAGCGUUAUCCGGAAUUAUUGGGCGUAAAGCGCGCGUAGGCGGUUUUUUAAGUCUGAUGUGAAAGCCCACGGCUCAACCGUGGAGGGUCAUUGGAAACUGGAAAACUUGAGUGCAGAAGAGGAAAGUGGAAUUCCAUGUGUAGCGGUGAAAUGCGCAGAGAUAUGGAGGAACACCAGUGGCGAAGGCGACUUUCUGGUCUGUAACUGACGCUGAUGUGCGAAAGCGUGGGGAUCAAACAGGAUUAGAUACCCUGGUAGUCCACGCCGUAAACGAUGAGUGCUAAGUGUUAGGGGGUUUCCGCCCCUUAGUGCUGCAGCUAACGCAUUAAGCACUCCGCCUGGGGAGUACGACCGCAAGGUUGAAACUCAAAGGAAUUGACGGGGACCCGCACAAGCGGUGGAGCAUGUGGUUUAAUUCGAAGCAACGCGAAGAACCUUACCAAAUCUUGACAUCCUUUGACAACUCUAGAGAUAGAGCCUUCCCCUUCGGGGGACAAAGUGACAGGUGGUGCAUGGUUGUCGUCAGCUCGUGUCGUGAGAUGUUGGGUUAAGUCCCGCAACGAGCGCAACCCUUAAGCUUAGUUGCCAUCAUUAAGUUGGGCACUCUAAGUUGACUGCCGGUGACAAACCGGAGGAAGGUGGGGAUGACGUCAAAUCAUCAUGCCCCUUAUGAUUUGGGCUACACACGUGCUACAAUGGACAAUACAAAGGGCAGCGAAACCGCGAGGUCAAGCAAAUCCCAUAAAGUUGUUCUCAGUUCGGAUUGUAGUCUGCAACUCGACUACAUGAAGCUGGAAUCGCUAGUAAUCGUAGAUCAGCAUGCUACGGUGAAUACGUUCCCGGGUCUUGUACACACCGCCCGUCACACCACGAGAGUUUGUAACACCCGAAGCCGGUGGAGUAACCUUUUAGGAGCUAGCCGUCGAAGGUGGGACAAAUGAUUGGGGUGAAGUCGUAACAAGGUAGCCGUAUCGGAAGGUGCGGCUGGAUCACCUCCUUUCUAAG